GAAAUGGGCCCCUUCUCUCUUCCUCCAGAGUCACCAUGUGAUCUCGGGAUGAGGACGACAAUGGAAGAAUUGUUAGAUUUUUUCGGCACCUAUUGGAUAAGCAGAAUAAUUUUAAAUCUCAGACAGACCACUACAGAAAACCACAACCAACCAAACUGUGGGGUUCUGGACCCCAGUACCAGUGGAUAACAUCUACAAACCAUUGCACGCCUAAUGCUUAGGUAACAUUGUAGAAGAGGGGAGCUGAAGAUCCAGAGGAUCAGGAAGUCUGCCGGGAGGUUGUCUGCUAGUGAUAUUGGGUGCUACACCUAUGAAGUCUCACCAACAUGACUGCCUAAAUGUGAGCCGAACAAUGAUGACACCAAUGAACCUGACAAAGGGGAUGGAGAAAAGUCCGGGAGGCCUCAACCUUACACAAAGAACUAUAGGCAACUGAAGAAAGCUGGGAGCAGGAGGGUUGAUCUUCCUUAGGACUGAGAACACCAACUGAUUGUCCAGUGCCAAGUGGUCAGCCUGGAAAACAUACAUACAAGUAACAUUAUCCACACUGAGCAGUGUACACACAUGCAUGCACAAGCACACAAGCACAUUUUAUGCAUACAUGCACACAAUAACAAGUAGUGAAGAAAAGAAGCCAUGAAUGUGAAGGAGACCAGAGAGUAGUAUAUGGGAAGAUUUGGAGGGAGGAAAAGGAAGGGAGAAAUGUUGUAAUUAUAUUGUAAUCUCAAAAAAAAAUUUUUGGCUUUUAUUUUUCAAGACAGGGUUUCUCUAUAUUCUUUUUUGGAGCCUAUCCUGGAAUUCCCUCCGUAGACCAGGGUGGCCUCGAACUCAGAGAGAUCCACCUGCCUCUGCCUCCCAAGUGCUGGGAUUAAAGGCAUGCACCACCACCACCUGGCCAAAUUUUUUUUAAAGGAUGAAUAUUUCUUAAAAUAGUCAAGGCUCAGGGAACUCCACAAGAGAAGGGGAGGAAAGAGCAUAACCCAUCAAGGGUGGAGGACACCUAGAAAACAAGGCCCUCUAAAUCAACAUGAUCAAAACUCACAUGAACUCACAGGGACUGAAGCAGCAGGACUUGCAUAUGUCUGCACCAGAUUUUCUGCAUAUAUAUUACGGCUUCCACUUUAGUGUUUUUAUGGGAUUCCUGAGUCCACUAACGAUUAAGUCUCUGAUUCUUGUGCCUUCUCUUGAACAUUUUUUUUCUUCUGUUUGCUGGUCUUGUCCAACUCCAAUGUGAUAGUUUUGUUUCAUCUUAAAUUUUAUUUUGCUAGGUUUUAUUACUAUCUCUGAGAAGCCUACAUUUUCUAAUGAGAGCAGAAGGUGAUGGGAUCUGGAUGGGAGAGGAGGUGGAAAGAAACUGGGAUAGCAAUCAUAAUCAGUAUAUAUUAUAUGAGGAAAAUUCUAUUUUCAAUGAAAAGAAAUGAACUUUUAAGAAAUCUAAAAGGACUCUACCUAACACAAUAAUAACUGCUCUGGGAUAAUGUGUGUGUUUAGCAUAAUGAUGUGAUAACAGGGAGCCUUAUUCCCAUCAUCGACACCAUAGACCAUUGUUUCUUACCCUCAGAUAUCUUCACCACUGGGAGCAUGUUUAAAGGGAAUACAAUUUGAAGGAACAAAAGAAAUUAAUUUAGCUAAGCAGUUGACUGUGAACAGUGCAUAAUUGAAAGAGGAAUACUAAUUGCAAAUCACUAAAUGGUCCAGUUCAUUGUGCUCAAUUUCCAUUUUCCUCGGGCUAUGCAUAGGUUAAAAGUAAAACUUUCAUUUUCAAAUAAAAGAUUGACAAGUAGUAAGUAGAAAAU
ensembl:lncRNA